GGCUAAAAUUACUCCCAUUUCUCCAGACACCAGCACUGACCCGAUUCGCUGUGGAAGACUAGUGAUUUUGUUGU
rnacentral:pre_miRNA from 1 species